rnacentral:rRNA from 1 species
AUCGAACGCUGGCGGCAGGCCUAACACAUGCAAGUCGAGCGGAAGAAGCGAGCUUGCUCCUGGAUUCAGCGGCGGACGGGUGAGUAAUGCCUAUGAAUCUGCCUGGUAGUGGGGGAUAACGUCCUGAAACGGGCGCUAAUACCGCAUACGUCCUGAGGGAGAAAGUGGGGGAUCUUCGGACCUCACGCUAUCAGAUGAGCCUAGGUCGGAUUAGCUAGUUGGUGGGGUAAAGGCCUACCAAGGCGACGAUCCGUAACUGGUCUGAGAGGAUGAUCAGUCACACUGGAAGUGAGACAGGGUCCAGACUCCUGCGGGAGGCAGCAGUGGGGAAUGUUGGACAAUGGGCGAGAGCCUGAUCCAGCCAUGCCGCGUGUGUGAAGAAGGUCUUCGGAUUGUAAAGCACUUUAAGUUGGGGGGAAGGGCAGUAAGUUAAUACCUAGCUGUAUUGACGGUACCAGCAGAAUAAGCACCGGCUAACUUCGUG